CUACUUCGUGUUUUGCAUUGCUCAGGACAUUAAUUUUCUCUCCACUCUGGGUACAGUCUGUAGCAAGGGAUCAAUCGCUUGACCUUCAAAUGCUGUUUCAGUCAUUUUGGCCACUGGUUAAUGCUGAGAUUGAGAGGAAGCUCUGGGUUGGCACAGGCAGAGGCCGAAAGCGGCUGUGAAUGGUGCUCCAGCGUUCCCCAGCUCCUCCGCACCUCUGAGGAGCUCAGAGUCCACGGUAGCUGCAACACCAGCUGCUCAAGGGUAGAUUUCCAUUUUGAGUUCAAGACCUUUAUGUGUGAAUGCUAUCUUUUUAAGGCACCGUUUGGUGCUUGAAAGCUUGUGUAGGCUCUAAUAAAUAAAUUCUUUUA